rnacentral:lncRNA from 1 species
CAACAGCUUACCACCACUUGGCCAAUUAACAAACUUGCAAGAGCUAGUUAUAGGUGUAAUGGAUAGCAUUACGACAAUUGAUGGGGAUUUCUGUGGCGGUGAAAGAGCCUUCCCUGAAUUGAGGAAAUUUUGCUUAUGCCGUAUGGGAAACCUCAAGUUGUGGGAGACAAUGUACUCCUAUGACAUGGGUAGUGUGAAGAAAUUCAUGUUCCCAAACCUUGUGGAAUUGUUAAUACGUGAUUGCCCAAAUUUAAGAUUGAAACCAUGCCCACCUAGAGCUAAGAGAUGGGAAAUUGAGAGCAGCGAUAAUGUAUUAUCAUCAUGGGGAGAGAAUCUGUCAUGCAACUCAUUAGACAUAAUUGGAGACCUCUCGUUUAUCAAAUCAUUGUUGCUAGAAGAUAAUACUCAGCCAGAACAUCCGAAAUGGUUGGGUGGCCUCAGCUCUAUCCGGAAAAUGGACAUCACAAGGUGUAAAGAGCUGUCUGAUUUGCCUGGGAGCAUGCGAUAUCUGACAUCCCUCCAGGAGCUUUCUUUGAUAGAUUGUCCAAGAAUAAAAGUGCUGCCAGAAUGGUUGGGUGAUCUUACUGCUCUGAAGAAACUUCAGAUCCGGUAUUGUAGGGGUAUCAACUCUUUGCCACAGAGCAUACAGAAGCUUACCAAGCUUAAAGGACUAGCUAUUUACCACUGCCUUGAAUUGGUAGAGUGGUGUAAUUUAGAGAAGAACAAGAACAUGCUGGCUCACAUAAAAGUAAAGGUAUAUGUCCCGCCAUGCUAUCUGCCAUGUCCUACUUAUCUUGACAGUAGCCAAAUUAAACUACACGGUGAUGCAUUUUCAUCUGCAACAUCCCUACAAGUCUUGGAUUUAAGCAAGUGCCACAUAUACAAGUUGCCAGCUUGCAUCAGUGAAUUGGUGAAAUUGAGGUAUCUCAAUGCCCCCAAGAUUCAAAGUCAAACAAUCCCGUAUUGUAUCACCAAGCUCUCGAAACUAAUUUACCUCAACCUAAGUUGGUCCAGGAUGUUAGCAUUGCCUGAGUCAAUUGGUGACUUGAGAUGUUUGAUGCAUCUUGACAUCUCGAAUUGUGAAUUUAUAGAUAACCUCCCAAAAUCAUUUGUGAAUCUCAAAAGGUUGGAAUAUCUGGAUUUAUCAAACAACAGUCAGCUUAGAGGUCUAUCAAAAGCUUUGGGUGGCCUAACCAACAUCCAAUACUUGAAUUUAUCAAUGCAAAUAGGUUAUGUAUUGGGUCAAUUUCUUGAGGGGCUGCCAGAGGUCAUUGGUAAUCUAAUUGGACUCCGUUAUUUAGGUCUAUCACAUACCACACGAUCCAUCUUCUGGAAUUCGAGCUCAGAUGAACUAUUCAGUUUCAUUGACCGUAUAUGUACCCUUUCUAAUCUGCAGCAUCUGGACUUGUCUAAUAAUGAUAGUAUAGUAAGUGUUCCUGAGAGUAUUGGCAACCUCAGGAAUCUGCAUACACUGGACCUCUCUUGCUGUUCACAUCUAGUGAGGCUUCCAGAAUGUUUGGUUAGAAUGGAUAAUGUGAAGAUCUUGAAUGUCACCGGGUGCCGCAAACUGGAAAAAUCUGCACUGUCCCGAUCAAAGAUUUUUGACUUGUUGCCACAUUUCGUGGUCCAAGCUGAUGAAGGUGAAUCUAGCAGCAACAUCGGUCUUCUACAGUACGCAAAUCCUAAUGAGUUGCACAUAACUUGCCUUGAUAAUGUAAAGUCUGCAGAAGAGGUCCAGAGUAUAAAGCUGAUAGAAAAACAAGGGAUUAAUGAUUUGAAACUUCAAUGGACCAGUGAUGCUUGCAGGUCUGUUGAGGAUAUGGAAGUGAUGGCAAGUCUUGUGCCACCAAGCACCUUGAGGGAAUUUAAUAUGACAGGCUACAAUAAUGUGAGCUUUCCGCCCUGGCUUAUGAACAUAAAGCUUUAUCUACCGGAACUUAGCAAGAUUGAACUGUGGCAUAUAUGUAAAUGCAACAGCUUGCCUGCAUUAGGUCAAUUACAAAACCUUAGAGAGCUAAUUAUUGGAGAAAUGGACAGCAUUACGAUCAUCGAAGAGGAUUUUUGUGGUGGUGCAAGGGCCUUCCCUCAGCUGAAGAGAUUUUGUCUAUACCACAUGGAAAAUCUGGAAGCAUGGAAGACGAUGUACUCCAAUGGCAAGGAUGUUGAGAAAGAAUUCAUGUUCCCUAACCUUAAGGAGCUGUCAAUAAAUGAUUGCCCAAAGUUGAGAAUGGAACCAUGCCUUCCUAGAGCAAAGAAAUGGGAGAUAGAGAACAGCAAUAAUGUAUUAUCAUUAUGGGGAGAAACUCGUGCUACCUCCUCUGUUGCACCUAUGGAUGUGAGUGUAACAGUCAGAUCUGACAAAGCGCCUUUGGAUCAGUGGAAGUUCUUUCACGACCUCCCUUCCCUGAGUACUUUACACAUCACAUGUUGCACUGAUCCGACAUGCAGCUCCAAUAUGCUAAGCCAAUUCCUGUUCAACAUCAUGUCACGGUGGUACACAAAUUCUAAUGAUUUGUACAUAACUAAUCUGAUGAAAAGACAAGUUAUCAACGAUUUGAAACUACAGUGGACUAGAGAUGCUGGGCGUUCUGUGGAGGAUGUGGAAGUACUGGGAAAGCUUGUGCCACCAAGUAGUUUGAGGGAAUUUAAUAUGACAGGUUACAACAGUGUGAGGUUUCCUGCCUGGGUUAUGGACAUUACGCUUUAUCUCCCAAGUCUUAGCAAGAUUGAAUUGUGGGAUAUACGCAAAUGCAACAGCUUACCACCACUUGGCCAAUUAACAAACUUGCAAGAGCUAGUUAUAGGUGUAAUGGAUAGCAUUACGACAAUUGAUGGGGAUUUUUGUGGCGGUGCAAGAGCCUUCCCUGAAUUGAGGAAAUUUUGCUUAUGCCGUAUGGGAAACCUCAAGUUGUGGGAGACAAUGUACUCCUAUGACAUGGGUAGUGUGAAGAAAUUCAUGUUCCCAAACCUUGUGGAAUUGUUAAUACGUGAUUGCCCAAAUUUAAGACUGAAACCAUGCCCACCUAGAGCUAAAAGAUUGGAAAUAGAGAGCAGCGAUAAUGUAUUAUCAUCGUGGGGAGAGUGGGGAGCAUCCAGUGUGUCCUCUGUUUCACU